rnacentral:rRNA from 1 species
UACAGAGGUCCCGAGCGUUGUUCGGAUUCAUUGGGCGUAAAGGGUGCGUAGGCGGCGGGGCAAGUCUGAUGUGAAAUCCUGGGGCUCAACCCUGGAACUGCAUUGGAUACUGCCUUGCUAGAGAACUGGAGAGGAGACUGGAAUUUACGGUGUAGCAGUGAAAUGCGUAGAGAUCGUAAGGAAGACCAGUGGCGAAGGCGAGUCUCUGGACAGUUACUGACGCUGAGACGCGAAAGCGUGGGGAGCAAACAGG